UACGUAGGGGGCAAGCGUUGUCCGGAUUUAUUGGGCGUAAAGAGCGUGUAGGCGGCUUGGUAGGUCCGCUGUGAAAACUCGAGGCUCAACCAUCGAGAUGUCGGCGGAAACCACUUGGCUAGAGUCCGGAAGAGGAGAGUGGAAAUUCCUGGUGUAGCGGUGAAAUGCGCAGAUAUCAGGAAGAACACCAAUGGCGAAGGCAGCUCUCUGGGGACGGUACUGACGCUGAGACGCGAAAGCGUGGGGAGCGAACAGG
rnacentral:rRNA from 1 species